rnacentral:siRNA from 1 species
UAUUUUCAGGGAUUGGCAAA